GAUGAAGAACGUAGUGAAAUGCGAUAAGUAAUGUGAAUUGCAGAAUUCAGUGAAUCAUCGAAUCUUUGAACGCACAUUGCGCCCGCCAGUAUUCUGGCGGGCAUGCCUGUUCGAGCGUCAUUUCAACCAUCAAGCCCCCGGCUUGUGUUGGGGACCUGCGGCUGCCGCAGGCCCUGAAAAGCAGUGGCGGGCUCGCUGUCACACCGAGCGUAGUAGCAUACAUCUCGCUCUGGGCGUGCUGUGGGUUCCGGCCGUUAAACCACCUUCAUAACCCAAGGUUGACCUCGGAUCAGGUAGGAAGACCCGCUGAACUUAAGCAUAUCAAUAAGCGGAGGA
rnacentral:misc_RNA from 1 species